rnacentral:misc_RNA from 1 species
UCCGGUUUGUCACCGGCAGUCAUCCUAGAGUGCCCGACAUUACUCGCUGGCAACUAAGAUCAAGGGUUGCGCUCGUUGCGGGACUUAACCCAACAUCUCACGACACGAGCUGACGACAACCAUGCACCACCUGUCUCCUCUGUCCCGAAGGCCCACCCUAUCUCUAGGAUGUUCAGAGGGAUGUCAAGACCUGGUAAGGUUCUUCGCGUUGCUUCGAAUUAAACCACAUACUCCACUGCUUGUGCGGGUCCCCGUCAAUUCCUUUGAGUUUUAAUCUUGCGACCGUACUCCCCAGGCGGUGUGCUUAACGCGUUAGCUUCGCCACCGAGACACUAAGUGCCCCAACGGCUAGCACACAUCGUUUACGGCGUGGACUAC